rnacentral:rRNA from 1 species
UGGGGAAUAUUGGACAAUGGGCCACGAGCCUGAUCCAGCAAUUCUGUGUGUGCGAUGAAGGUCUUCGGAUUGUAAAGCACUUUCAGUGGGGAAGAAGCAAGUGACAGUACCCACAGAAGAAGCCACGGCUAACUACGUGCCAGCAGCCGCGGUAAGACGUAGGUGGCAAGCGUUAUCCGGAAUCACUGGGCGUAAAGGGCAUCUAGGCGGCUUAGUAAGUCAGGGGUGAAAUACCGGGGCUCAACUCCGGGACGGCCUUUGAAACUGCUUAGCUAGAAUACGGGAUAGGAGGGCGGAACUACAAGUGUAGAGGUGAAAUUCGUAGAUAUUUGUAGGAAUGCCGAUGACGAAGGUAGCUCUCUGGACCGACAUUGACGCUGAAGUGCGAAAGCUAGGGUAG